CCCUCCCUGCCUUGUUUACCCUGUAAAAAUUCCAAGACGUUUAGGUGCUGCUCGUCUCAAAAAAAACUGUAUCGCAAACGUCGAUGGAAUUUGAAAGCGCUGCUAACAAAAAAAAACAAAACAGCAAAUCACGAGCUUUGUUUUGGUUUCUGCACUGUAACGCAAAUGGAAAGACCAGAAGCUGACAUCGGAGGCAAGCUGUCCCGUGUCCAAGCCCAAGCCCAAGCUGUCCUUGAGCAUGAACGGGACAUUAGAGCACCGUCGCCGCCGUCUGUGUGGGUCCGUGUGCCUCCGGAGCGCGCUCAACGAGCGGCGGGGUCGUGCGCUCGCGGCGACACAGCGCUAUGGCUGGACUGGACCACUUCAGUCUUCAGCUUAAAUGAAAGAAAUCACCCAAACCGAGCAGAUCUACCCUGCUCCAGCAGGACCAGCACUUCUCUUGCAAGAACCAAACAGCCAAGAGGAGCUAAGAGUACAGAUCCGGACCUGACUUCCGGGUUGCCGGUGAU
rnacentral:misc_RNA from 1 species